UCGCUCUCCCACACAGAAAACCCUAGCCGCCGCCACCGAAGCGGCCUCCCAGGUAAGCAGGAGCGUCCAUCCCGCCGCCGCCAUGAAGUGCAAUCCCCGCGCCACGAGCUCCUGCCGGAAGUGCCGCAAGGCGCACUUCACGGCCCCGUCCUCCGUCCGCCGCGUUCUCAUGUCCGUCGGGCUGUCGACGGAGCUCCACCACAAGUACAACGUGCUCUCCAUCCCGAUCCGCAAGGACGACGAGGUGCAGGUCGUGCGCGGCACCUACAAGGGCCGUGAGGGGAAGGUGGUGCAGGUAUACCGCCGCCGCUGGGUCAUCCACAUCGAGCGGAUCACCCGCGAGAAGGUGAACGGCUCCACCGUGAACGUGGGUAUCCACCCCUCCAAGGUGAUCGUCACCAAGCUGAAGCUCGACAAGGACCGUAAGGCGCUCCUCGACCGCAAGGCUCAGAAUAACUAGACC